rnacentral:lncRNA from 1 species
GGAAACUGGAUACCCUGAGAAGCUUCCCGCUGCCCUCUUCGCAAGAAUUUCCGGUUAGAAGAGCUGGCGUGGAGAUGGAACGCGGAAGGGUGCCGACUUGGGAUUCUGCGGAGAUUCCUAUACCCUCCAACGCUGCACGACGCGGUUCCGUCGGACGCCGUCUUGGCUGCUUUCGCCGCUCGUCUCCUCCUACGCUGUCAUCUCUCUCUCUCUCUCUCUCGGCUUAACUCAUCGGCUACGGCUAGGACUGCUACGUUUCUUUUUUCGUCAUAUUAGUACUUGGUCAAGGCCUGGGAGCCUUGCUGCAAGCGUAAAACAAACUCUUUUCCUUUUAAUUUGUACGAUUUUAGAGCAUUCAUUACAUCGUAGAGUUAAACCAUGGCUGCUAAUAAAAUGAACAUUCACCCAUUG